AUGCAUCUUUUUGACAUACAUUUUCCUCAGGCUUUUAGAUUGCCAAUGUUGUCUCUUGCCCUGCAUAUUGUCGGAAACACACUCCCUUCCACGUUAAUUUGUCAUCUUGUGGUCAUAAUGUUUUUUUAUACCUUUAAGCUUUGUUUGGGAGUUUGGAGGGGAGGGGUGAUAAACUUUUUAUUUUUUUGA